UCAGAGGCGAUGAAGGACGUGCUAAUCUGCGAAAAGCGUCGGUAAGGUGAUAUGAACCGUUAUAACCGGCGAUGUCCGAAUGGGGAAACCCAGUGUGAUUCGUCACACUAUCGUUAACUGAAUACAUAGGUUAACGAGGCGAACCGGGGGAACUGAAACAUCUAAGUACCCCGAGGAAAAGAAAUCAACCGAGAUUCCCCCAGUAGCGGCGAGCGAACGGGGAGCAGCCCAGAGUCUGAAUCAGCUUGUGUGUUAGUGGAACGGUCUGGAAAGUCCGACGGUACAGGGUGAUAGUCCCGUACACCAAAAUGCACAGGUUGUGAACUCGAAGAGUAGGGCGGGACACGUGGUAUCCUGUCUGAAUAUGGGGGGACCAUCCUCCAAGGCUAAAUACUCCUGACUGACCGAUAGUGAACCAGUACCGUGAGGGAAAGGCGAAAAGAACCCCGGCGAGGGGAGUGAAAAAGAACCUGAAACCGUGUACGUACAAGCAGUGGGAGCACCUUCGGGUGUGACUGCGUACCUUUUGUAUAAUGGGUCAGCGACUUAUAUUCUGUAGCAAGGUUAACCGUAUAGGGGAGCCGCAGGGAAACCGAGUCUUAACUGGGCGUUAAGUUGCAGGGUAUAGACCCGAAACCCGGUGAUCUAGCCAUGGGCAGGUUGAAGGUUGGGUAACACUAACUGGAGGACCGAACCGACUAAUGUUGAAAAAUUAGCGGAUGACUUGUGGCUGGGGGUGAAAGGCCAAUCAAACCGGGAGAUAGCUGGUUCUCCCCGAAAGCUAUUUAGGUAGCGCCUCGUGAACUCAUCUUCGGGGGUAGAGCACUGUUUCGGCUAGGGGGUCAUCCCGACUUACCAACCCGAUGCAAACUACGAAUACCGAAGAAUGUUAUCACGGGAGACACACGGCGGGUGCUAACGUCCGUCGUGAAGAGGGAAACAACCCAGACCGCCAGCUAAGGUCCCAAAGUCAUGGUUAAGUGGGAAACGAUGUGGGAAGGCACAGACAGCCAGGAUGUUGGCUUAGAAGCAGCCAUCAUUUAAAGAAAGCGUAAUAGCUCACUGGUCGAGUCGGCCUGCGCGGAAGAUGUAACGGGGCUAAACCAUGCACCGAAGCUGCGGCAGCGACACUAUGUGUUGUUGGGUAGGGGAGCGUUCUGUAAGCCUGCGAAGGUGUGCUGUGAGGCAUGCUGGAGGUAUCAGAAGUGCGAAUGCUGACAUAAGUAACGAUAAAGCGGGUGAAAAGCCCGCUCGCCGGAAGACCAAGGGUUCCUGUCCAACGUU
rnacentral:rRNA from 1 species